rnacentral:lncRNA from 1 species
CAGCGUUCAGUCGGCAGGAGCGGGUGCCCCGACGUUCGGGUUCCCGGGGGGCUGAGCGGGACGCCCCACUUUGAGACCUGCUGGUCGGAUGGGUUCUAGGAUGAAGCAGCGGGACGGGGAAAUAAAGCAAAGGCAGACUCAGGAGAGCGGCGAUUUGGCCAUAAUCCAGGCCUGAGUGGAAAACCUGGGGAGUUUUAAAAAGGAUUUAUUGGGGAGAAAUCCUUCAAGACCAAGUGCAGCAAGUCCACAAAAACCCAAAUCAAGUCUACGCUUUGUGCUGAUCAGCAGGGAGAAGAAAGAAAUGGGUCCUGUGGAAAGUGGUGCCUCCACAGACAGCGGCCACACCAGGGUGGUGGUAGCAGGGAUGGACGGAGCUGGCCCCGGCUUGCUCCCACACAGGGCUCUCAGCCAUUUCACUCGGCGUCUGUGGAGACAGCAAGGAUCGCUUAAAGACUUGGUGCCAAUGGCAUGUUUCAGCACUUCUGAAGACACGAGGUAAUUGCAGGAAAUGCCGGGCCAUCACCUUUUAAGAAAGAGAGCGUCUGCAUGCUGAUUGGCACAUUCUUCUGUCCAUUCACUUGGAAAUGAGACUCUCGGUCUGCUCACACUUAGAGUAAGUGGUCAUAUCCAUCCUGCCCAAUGCUAAAUAAGCCCCACAAAAGUGCAAAUAAAGACAAAUUAUUUAGCCGUAAAAUAGACGCGUGUCAAGCUGACGUCCCCUGCAGUGAGGGACCCCUUGGGCGCCCUGUAGAAACAGACCCGUGCCCCCUCAUCUUCC